AUUGAACGCUGGCGGCAGGCCUAACACAUGCAAGUCGAGCGAGUGGCGGACGGGUGAGUAAUGUCUGGGAAACUGCCCGAUGGCGGGGGAUAACUACUGGAAACGGUAGCUAAUACCGCAUACCAUCAGAUGUGCCCAGAUGGGAUUAGCUAGUAGGUAGGGUAACGGCUUACCUAGGCCACGAUCCCUAGCUGGUCUGAGAGGAUGACCAGCCACACUGGGACUGAGACACGGCCCAGACUCCUACGGGAGGCAGCAGUGGGGAAUAUUGCACAAGGGGCGCAAGCCUGAUGCAGCCAUGCCGCGUGUAUGAAGAAGGCCUUCGGGUUGUAAAGUACUUUCAGCGAGGAGGCGUUACUCGCAGAAGAAGCACCGGCUAACUCCGUGCCAGCAGCCGCGGUAAUUC
rnacentral:rRNA from 1 species